rnacentral:rRNA from 1 species
GAGAUGUUGGGUUAAGUCCGCAACGAGCGCAACCCUCGACCUUAGUUGCCAGCAUUCAGUUGGGCACUCUAAGGUGACUGCCGGCUAAAAGUCGGAGGAAGGUGGGGAUGACGUCAAAUCAUCAUGCCCCUUAUGACCUGGGCUACACACGUGCUACAAUGGGCGGUACAAAGGGUCGCGAACCCGCGAGGGGGAGCCAAUCCCAAAAAGCCGCUCUCAGUUCGGAUUGCAGGCUGCAACUCGCCUGCAUGAAGCCGGAAUCGCUAGUAAUCGCGGAUCAGCAUGCCGCGGUGAAUACGUUCCCGGGCCUU